GUCUCUGUCUCACUACUCACACUACUCCAAAUUCACCGUUGUUUUCUCUCAUCGCUUCCACUCCACCAAACUAAACCCAGAUCUUUACCUGCAAAUUCCGACAGCGAGAUGUUGAAAUCCGUAGCUCUCUUUUGCUUAGCGAUACUUUUCCUGCAUACCCACUUCUUCGAUUCCGUCGCCGUCGCGGUUUCUCGGGCGAACAACGGCGAGAUCGACGCAAUGCUAAGCGGGAGCGGCGGCGUCGGAGAGUCGUCGAUGGAGGAAGAGGAGGAGAUGAUGCCGUCGGAGAUCAGCCGGAGAGUGAUGAUGAUGCAGAGGCGGUACAUAAGCUACGAAACCCUAAGGAGGGACAUGGUCCCCUGUCAGAAGCCAGGUGCUUCGUACUACGAUUGUCGCUCAGGGCAAGCGAAUUCUUACAGCAAAGGCUGCGAGAUCAUUACCAGAUGUGCUAGAGACACCAGCGAAACCAGAACCUGAACAAAAUUUCUCAGAGUUGAGAAUUCAGAGGCAAUGUAUUUGAAGAGAAAAAGGUAGGGUUUGGUUUCUGGCACUAGGAGGACUGAAGGAAGAAACUUUGUGGAAAGCUGAAGUUUUCCGGGCAUGAAUGUUUCAAGAACCCGACAUUUUGCGGGGAGUUGUCGAUGUUAUUGUUGGUACCAAGAGUAUAGGAGGAAUCUGACAGAUGAUUUCACGGUGUCUCUUGUUAUAGUUGUGGGAUUUAGUUGUUUGUGGAGGUUGAAUCAGUUUCUUAAAGGAAAGGGACACUGGGAUGGAGUAGUAAAAGGGGAGAAUGAAGGACAAUGUCUCCCUCCAUUUGAGUCCAUAUGCUUCUUAGGCUAAAAAGAAGAUUCCUUUAUGGAGAAUAAUAGUAUUUUCUUUGGUUAAGAUUUGAUUUCUUGUACAGAACUUAGGAGAAGGGGUGGUUUCUUGAUAUAUAUGUGUGUCCAUAUAUAUAUAUAUAUAUGGCAG